CUCAGAUUGAACGCUGGCGGCAGGCCUAACACAUGCAAGUCGAGCGGAAACGACAACAUUGAAUCUUCGGAGGAUUUGUUGGGUGUCGAGCGGCGGACGGGUGAGUAAUGCCUAGGAAAUUGCCUUGAUGUGGGGGAUAACCAUUGGAAACGAUGGCUAAUACCGCAUAGUGCCUACGGGCCAAAGAGGGGGAUCUUCGGACCUCUCGCGUCAAGAUAUGCCUAGGUGGGAUUAGCUAGUUGGUGAGGUAAUGGCUCACCAAGGCGACGAUCCCUAGCUGGUCUGAGAGGAUGAUCAGCCACACUGGAACUGAGACACGGUCCAGACUCCGUACGGGAGGCAGCAGUGGGGAAUAUUGCACAAGUGGGCGAAAGCCUGAUGCAGCCAUGCCGCGUGUAUGAAGAAGGUCCUUCGGGUUGUAAAGUACUUUCGAGUUGUGAGGAGGGGUAGUGUAAUAGCACAUCUCUUGACGUUAGCAACGAGAA
rnacentral:rRNA from 1 species